GAGCACACAAACACCCGGGACUCCCGCCACCAGACCCCGCUCCGGGCUCAGUGUCUCCCCAGCGGCACAGGGGAGGCCUGGCUACUCACGGUGCCAGAAUUCACAUAUUUCUUUUUCUUCAUUUUCUUUUUGGGGUUUACCACCUGCAGGAAAAAACAGUUACCAGGCCCAGCCCUUCCCUAACCUCCGACUGAGCAAAGCAAGACGACCUCCCCACCUGCUGUCCUUCCCUCUCCCCCCUCCCCUGUCCUUGUUCCUGAGGGUCUCUUCUGCCUGGAGGAUGCUGAGAGCCACUUAGAACCUCCUGAACUGCUCUUCACGUGUAAGCUUGGAGACAAGGAAACUCAGGCACAGAGACAGCAAGUGCUUUGCCAAAGGGCACGGAGCUGGUCUGGGUAGUGACAGAAUUAGGAGCCAGGUUCCUGCCUCAGGCCCCUGGGUAAGAAAUGCCAACACAUUCCUUCACAGAUGUUUGCCAGGUGGGGUGGCAUGGGGUGCCAGUUCCUCUCCUCUAGAAUCUUUACUCCAGUUGGAGAAAGAAGCUAUGUCCUCAGAGAGGUGACGAGGGCCACCAAGACCGGGGAGUCGGAACCGUGAAGGCGCUGUUCGAAGGAAGGACCAUUCCCCGAGCAGGAGGCACCGCGGGAAGACGUGGAGGGACAGGAAGGACCUGGGCGUGGAGAGGUGGAGGGAGGCAUCCCGGUCAGGAGAUAUUGGGGGGAAAGGAGUGUAGGACUGGGGAGCCACAGGGUGGAAGAGAGGAAAGGGGGCGGGCUGGGAGAGAACCUCCAAUGCCAACUGAAAUGCCGGAACACCACCCAGCAGCGAGCAGGGACUGAUGACCUCUGAGCUGAUGGGGGACGAGGUCACAGCAGGCUCUGGGAUGCCGGGGCCUGGUGAAGAUCUUCCUGCGAAGUGGCCCUGAAGAGACGCCCUGUUUAUCCUGAGGUUUUGUGCACUCCCCACCCAUGUACCGGCCUCGCCCGCCCUCAGGUCCCAUGAGGGGGACCAGCGCCCCCUAGCGGUCAGGCCAGGAACCUCCCAACCCCUGGGCUGGAGUUCUAAGCCUUAUUCUUUUCUCUCUCUUCACACCCCAAGUCCCCAGGGCCUCCAGCGCCCAUCUGGGGUCUGCCCUCCUGUACCAGGGGUCAGGGCGUGGCUCCCAGGAGCCAGGAGCUGCUCUGGCUCUGGGGAGACGACACUGAGACACCGCCCGCACCCAGAGGCAGCACCUGCGUGAAUGAAGCCACGAGGCUGAGCCAGCAAGCAGGGUCAGAGAGCCUCCGAUGGCCCAGUGGGCUCAAAGCGGGUGGGCAGAGGGAAGGGCUGGGGCCAGACCCUAGGGGCCUCAUGGGGGUGACAUGUGCGCCCACAGAUUGCAAGUCGCUGCAGCAGGGCACAGUUGGAGGAGCUGGGACUUCGCCCCAUAGGUCCAGCCCUGUAGGGUCUCGGCUGGGGUGGGUGUCUUUCCGAAUCUCCUCCGGUCCCCAGCGCCAGUGAACCAGGCUGCGGUGGUGGGUGGUGGGUGGGACUUACAACCAGGUUUGAAGCGGCCGCGAUGUGGUCAGGUGACCAUGUUGGAGGAGCACUCAGGUUACUGAGUGGACGGAAGGAGGCGGGAAGGCUGUUAGGGGCCGUUGCAAAACCUACUCAGGGGAGAUGGCAGUGGGGUGGACGGGAAGGACGGGAACACAUGUCAGCAUGUUUCGCUGGUUGGAAUAGGUUGCAGCCAUGGAUGGCGAGGGGCCACAGUCGUCAAGGGGGCUCCAGGCGCUGUGGCCCCCGUGGUGGCGGCACAGGCUGGCCAGGGGAGGGAGGGCUUCGGGGAGACUGUGGCCAGAUGCGUUCGGUUUGGGAAGGCCGAGUCCGCAGAGCGGCCGGCAGACAGCUGGACGUACAAGUCGGACCGGGUCACGCUGGGGCCCCAGACGACGGUCCCUCCCGAAGAGGCCUGUGCUGUCUUCAGGCCUCCCAGUGACACCCCGCAGUGCAAGGACCCUCCGCGGCCGCCAGAGGCCAUUCCUUUCUGCCUGACGCCUUUCAGCGUGAACAGCACCCUGCUUCCCAGCGCUCAGUUCCUCGGUCGAUGACAAGGGAGCAGGGAUCCACGACCAAGAAAGAAGUCACCCAACCUUUCUGCUAACUGGGAGCCGGUGCCUCUUCUGUCUGUCAAGCUCCCUUAGAAGCCAGACUCCCACUGAUCUGUCCCCUCCCCUCCCCUCCCCUCUCCUCCCCUUCCCUUCCCUAAAAAUCUCCCUAAAGGAGGCCAGAGAGAGACGAAGCCUGCUUCUCUGUCUGGGUGGGAGAUGGGCAGAGAACAAAGCCUUCCCUGUGGAGAAUUCAAAGGAAUCCCCCACCCCCGCUCACUCCAUCUUCACAAUGGCCUUGUUCAACUGAAGCCAGUGUGUGGAUGUCUAAGAAGCACCUACUGUGUGCCCAGCAGUGGCCAGACGACCGUGAAGAGAGGCAGC